rnacentral:rRNA from 1 species
UCCGAAGGGGGCUAGCGUUGUUCGGAUUUACUGGGCGUAAAGCGCACGUAGGCGGAUCGAUCAGUCAGGGGUGAAAUCCCAGAGCUCAACUCUGGAACUGCCUUUGAUACUGUCGAUCUGGAGUAUGGAAGAGGUGAGUGGAAUUCCGAGUGUAGAGGUGAAAUUCGUAGAUAUUCGCAAGAACACCAGUGGCGAAGGCGGCUCACUGGCCCGAUACUGACGCUGAGGUGCGAAAGCGUGGGGAGCAAACAGG